rnacentral:rRNA from 1 species
UACGAAGGGGGCUAGCGUUGUUCGGAAUUACUGGGCGUAAAGCGCACGUAGGCGGCUUUGUAAGUUAGAGGUGAAAGCCCGGAGCUCAACUCCGGAACUGCCAUUGAAACUGUUUAGCUUGAGGAUGAGAGAGGUGAGUGGAAUUCCCAGUGUAGAGGUGAAAUUCGUAGAUAUUGGGAAGAACACCGGUGGCGAAGGCGGCUCACUGGCUCAUUACUGACGCUCAGGCGCGAUAGCGUGGGGAUCAAACAGG